UUAGUCAUUUAAUUGAUGACUUGUAUGAAAGAUUGGAUGAAAUAUAAACUGUCUCUUAUUUAAUUAUAAAAUUUAAUUUUUUUAUUAAAAAGUUAAAAUAUUUUAAAAAGACGAGAAGACCCUAUAGAGUUUUAUAAAUUAUUAAAUUGAGAUUAUAUGUAAAAUAAAUUUAAAAUUAAAUUAUUUAUUUUGUUGGGGUGAUAAAAAAAUAUAUUUAACUUUUUUUAAUUAUAAAACAUUUAUAAGUGGUUAAAUGAUCCAAUAAUAUUGAUUAUAAGAAAAAAUUACCUUAGGGAUAACAGCGUAAUUUUUUUUUUUAGUUCAAAUAAAAAAAAAAGUUUGCGACCUCGAUGUUGGAUUAAGAUAAAAUUUAAAUGUAGAAG
rnacentral:rRNA from 1 species